GAAAUCAGUUUUAUUUUGCAGCUAGAUGUCACAUAAGAUUUAUUCUCAGUUAUGUCUGGAAGCAUCUGAGAAACUUGAUUAUACAACAUGGUCUGUGUCUUGAAUGAAAGUAUUUUUUUGUGGCGCUAAGAUUCAGCCUUUUCCAAUGAAUCAACUAUAGAACCAAAUGAACCUUUUGGUAAUACUUGAGGUUUCUGUUCCUGGUUAUUAGAACUCAAUUACAUUGUCAGUGAAUGAAGGACAUCUUCUAUAUUUUGCGGAAAAACAGUUGUAAUAAUUUUCUUCGCUAUUUCAAGUAAUCUAUUACAAUAAACAGAUUUGGAACUUUUAGAAUACAUAUUCUAGGAACUCAUUUCUUCUUCUGAAAAACACCUCA
rnacentral:lncRNA from 1 species